UACGGAAGGCAGCAAUGGGGAAUAUUGCACAAUGGGCGAAAGCCUGAUGCAGCUAUGCCGCGUGUAUGAAGAAGGCCUUAGGGUUGUAAAGUACUUUCAUCGGGGAGGAAAAAACAAAACUAAUAAUUUUAUUUCUUGACGUUACCCGAAAAAGAAGCACCGGCUAACUCCGUGCCAGCAGCCGCGGUAAUACGGAGGGUGCUAGCGUUAAUCAGAAUUACUGGGCGUAAAGAGCACGUAGGUGGUUUUUUUAAGUCAGAUGUGAAAUCCCUGGGCUUAACCUAGGAACUGCAUUUUGAAACUGAAAUACUAGAGUAUCGUAGAGGGAGGUAGAAUUCUAGGUGUAGCGGUGAAAUGCGUAGAUAUCUGGAGGAAUACCUGUGGCGAAAGCGGCCUCCUAAACGAAUACUGACACUGAGGUGCGAAAGCGUGGGGAGCAAACAGGGAUUAGAUACC
rnacentral:rRNA from 1 species